rnacentral:rRNA from 1 species
GAUGAACGCUGGCGGCGUGCUUAACACAUGCAAGUCGAACGAAGCACUUUAUUUGAUUUCCUUCGGGACUGAUUAUUUUGUGACUGGGUGGCGGACGGGUGAGUAACGCGUGGGUAACCUGCCUUGUACAGGGGGAUAACAGUUGGAAACGGCUGCUAAUACCGCAUAAGCGCACGGCAUCGCAUGAUGCAGUGUGAAAAACUCCGGUGGUAUAAGAUGGACCCGCGUUGGAUUAGCUAGUUGGUGAGGUAACGGCCCACCAAGGCGACGAUCCAUAGCCGACCUGAGAGGGUGACCGGCCACAUUGGGACUGAGACACGGCCCAAACUCCUACGGGAGGCAGCAGUGGGGAAUAUUGCACAAUGGGCGAAAGCCUGAUGCAGCGACGCCGCGUGAGCGAAGAAGUAUUUCGGUAUGUAAAGCUCUAUCAGCAGGGAAGAUAAUGACGGUACCUGACUAAGAAGCACCGGCUAAAUACGUG